rnacentral:rRNA from 1 species
AUGGAUUAAGAGCUUGCUCUUAUGAAGUUAGCGGCGGACGGGUGAGUAACACGUGGGUAACCUGCCCAUAAGACUGGGAUAACUCCGGGAAACCGGGGCUAAUACCGGAUAACAUUUUGAACCGCAUGGUUCGAAAUUGAAAGGCGGCUUCGGCUGUCACUUAUGGAUGGACCCGCGUCGCAUUAGCUAGUUGGUGAGGUAACGGCUCACCAAGGCAACGAUGCGUAGCCGACCUGAGAGGGUGAUCGGCCACACUGGGACUGAGACACGGCCCAGACUCCUACGGGAGGCAGCAGUAGGGAAUCUUCCGCAAUGGACGAAAGUCUGACGGAGCAACGCCGCGUGAGUGAUGAAGGCUUUCGGGUCGUAAAACUCUGUUGUUAGGGAAGAACAAGUGCUAGUUGAAUAAGCUGGCACCUUGACGGUACCUAACCAGAAAGCCACGGCUAACUACGUGCCAGCAG